GUGGGAAAACCACAGGCAAAGACACAGACUUUGUCCAGAGGUGCAGCAGCAUCUAUCUUGGCCAGGGUGUAGUCAGGCACAACAGUGUAUUCUGCAAAGGUGCUGUUCCAGAGGAAAUGAUGGAUCUGUUUCCCUUUGCAAGUGAAUCUGCUGGUCUUGUCAGGCAGCAGGUUUUGUGGUUCAGUGAAGCUGUUGGAAGUGUGUGUGUGAGUUGCUCAUCACAUAAGGUACAUGUGUGUGCAUAUCAGAAUUGUUGAUGGUUCAGCCUGUUUGGGUAGAGGGGUAGGUGAAAACAAACUCACUGUGUUUUCACGCAGUAGUUGGAGUCAGGAUUCAAGCAGAAGCUGCAUUCUCCACACUGAGGAAGUGGAAGGAGGAUGACUUUGUCUCCUGGAAGAAAGCAGAUCCAGCAUUACACGCCUGUCACUCGGUGGCCUGUUGGCGUGCCUCUGCUGAGCUUUGUGAUGACGGCACCCCGGCAUGAACGCUCUCCUUUCCCUGUCCGAAGAACACGUUCAGAGCCCACCUCAUGCACUUUUGGUAUGGAUGAGGAAAGUGUGUGUGACAGCGUAGCACAACUGGUGUGCGGCCAGAGGGAGUUUCUGAUCUCUGGGCAGCCUUACAGACUUUGAGAGCUGGGUCCUGGCUGCAUGCGUUGGUUACCUGGUUUCACAGAAGUCACUCCUUCUCCAAUGCUCUCCACAAUCCCAGCUCCUUCAUGGCCGGGGAUGACUGGGAAUUCUAGAUCAGGAAAUGUACCUUCAAGAACGUGGUCAUCUGUGCGACAGAUCCCUGUAGCCACAAUCUGUUAGCAGUGAAAGUGCACAGAACAUCUGGAACAAUGUUGAUUGGCUCUGAGACCCUCAGUCCCUUUGUUCUGGGAACUGAAAUCACACAACUGUGCUUUGGUGGUUUUUUUGCUCCACCUGAGUACUUACUGCUCUAUGGGUCCCAGUAGUAUUUGCCCCAGGGUUCUCAAAGAGCUGCCUGAUUUCAUUGUGGGUCCACUCUUUAAUUAUUUUUCACUAGUUUGGGAAAUCUGGAGAUGUUCUUAUCUACUAAAAGGUGGUAAACUUCCCAGUUGUCAUGAAGAAACAGAAAGACUAUCCUGGUAAUUGCAGGUCUGUCAGUCUCGCUUUUUUGCCUGGCAGAAUUGUGGAGUAGAUUAUUCUGGGAGAUAUUGUAAAAUACUUGAAAGAUAAUUGGUCACAUCCAAUGUGGGUUCACAUGGGGGGAAAGUCCUGCGUAAUGAAUUAAUCUCCUUUUACUAUAAGGCUAACCCCCCACUCCACCCUCCCUCCCACUUGACCAAGGGAAGCUUACUUGGCUUUUAGCAAAUCUUUCAGUAUCUUGUCUGUCUUUAUCUUUCAGGACCAAACAUCCAGCAUACAGCUAGACUGAAACAUUAUUCAGUGGAUGAACAACUGGCUGAUGGGUUGGACUCAGAAGGCUUUACUAAAUGUGGUCAUAACUACCUGGUGGUCAUUAAUGAGUUUUGUCAGGGCUCCAUCUUGGGGCCAGUUUUCUUUAAUUAUUUCAUCAAUGAUCUGGAUAUGGAACUUGAUGGUAUACUAAGUAAGUUUGCAAAUAAUACUACAUUAGGGAGGGGCUGUUGACUCUGUAGGGGGCAGAAAGGUCUUGAAGAGAGAUCUUGACAAAAUGGAGAACUGGGCAACACCAACAUAUGAACUAAACAAGAGCACGUGCUAACUUCUGCGGCUGGCACAGGCAACUGAAGAUAUAUGCACAGACUGGGGGAUGAGAUCUUGCAGAGCAGUCCUGUGGAGAAGGACCUGGGGGCUCUGAUUGCUGGCAAGUUGAAUCUAAGUUAGCAGUGUGCCCUGGCACAGCCCAUGGGGUGAACCAUACUGUGGGGUGCAUCAUGUCCAACACUGCCAGUCAGUCAAGGGAAGGGAUUGUCCCACUCUGUUCUGCACUGGGCCAGCCUCACCUCGAGCACUGUUUGCAGUUUUGGCAUGACAAUAUAGGAAGGACAUAAAACUGAAACUAUUUGAGAGUGCCCAAAAGAGACUUACAAAGAUGGUGAAGGCUCUGAACAAGAUGUGUGAGGAGUGGCUCAAGUCCCUUGCCUUUUUAGCCCAGAGAAGGGGAGACUAAGGUCAGGUCUUCCAGCAACCUCAGUCCUUCCUUAUGAGGGGAGCAAAGCGGCAGGCACUGAGCUCUGCUUGAUGGUGUCAGGGUCCAAGGGUGUGCAGUGCAGCUGCAUCAGGAGAAGAUGAGACUGUGUGUUGAGAAAAGGUUCUUCACCAGAGGGCAGUCAGACAUGAAAUAGUCACCACAGGGCAGUGGUCACAGCAUGAAGAUGCUGGAGUUCAAGAAGCAUUUAGACAACGUUCUCACAUAAAGGACUUGAAUUUUGUGUGGUUCUAUGUGGAGACAGGAGCUGGAUUCAGUGAGCCUAUUGUGGGUCCCUUUUAGCUUUGGAUAUUCUAUGGUAAUAUGAUUCUAGAAACAUCUUGACCACCAUUGAUCUCCAUAAUGGAUCCAGGAAAUAGGGUGUAGUAAUGUUUGUCUCCUUCCCAAACCUUGGGAAAGAUUAAGCUUCAAUGCACCAUGAUUCCCAAAGGUUAUAUUUUAGCUAAAUCCUCCAAAAAAUAUCCCAUACUGGAAGGGGGGGGGGGGGGGGGGAGGAGGAAAGGAAAUAAUAAAACAACGAAAACAACAAAAAAAACCCAAAGUGCUUUUACCUUGACUCGCACUUCGUGUGCCUUUGGAGGUGCAACCUCUAUCUCCUCAACAGAGAGCGAUUUGCCCGCUGCCCAGGCAACUGCAGCUCUGCAUCGGAUAACCUGGAAGAAUGGGAGCGGUGAGGCUGUGUGAGAAGGUGCGCCUUUGAGAAAGAGUAAUGGAUUAAAAGCAGAUCAGCUGGUGGUUUGUCGGCCUCUGUCAAUAGCACAGCUCCAAGGAAGUACUAAACGCUCAUUCUGCCCUGGCCUGUGCCCUCCCAAUGACCGCUUCAGCAGCCUGUUGUUUCAAUGGGAUCCUGCGGUCUCCCUCUUACGAGCUGUUCCCUAGGGGAGGAGAGGACGGAGGCCCUUCUGGAAGGAAACUGAAUCGCACACCGCGUUCCUGGAGAAGGAGUCUGGAGCAGAGGAGCAGCUGGCAUUUGGGUAGUAUUCAUAGCAAAACAGCUUCUCAGUUUUCAGUGGGAGAAAGCUGUUUAAAGCCCCCUGCCUCGUGCUGGCUAAGCUACUGCCUCCCACAGAUACUGACGUGCUGCGGCUGUAUGAGAGCAGAGGCUUGUGCAAGUCAAAGAGGUUUGGGUGAGACAAGGGGAGUCAGAGAAAAGAUGGUCUGCAGCUCAAGUGUGCUGGCUGAGCCAUUCCCAGGGUAUCUCUGUGGGAGGGCGGAAGGAAAAAAGGCAACAAGGCAUCCUUACUUUUCCAGUAGUGGCCAUGUGGUCUGAGAGGAGCUGUCUGCAGCAGUGGCAGAGGAUGGAGGCUUGGUGCCGUCUGCCCGUCUGGACCCGUGUGUUGUGUGAAAUCCCUGCGUGUGGCUGGGCACCGCUGGCUGCAGGUGAAGGUUUGUGCCUCCCUGGUACCUAAUAAUGGAGGCUGUUUUCUGCACCAGCCUUGGAAAGCUCCAUUCCUGCUGUUACACUCCUGAAUCAUUUCUCCCCAAGCAGAAUGGCCUGAAGUGCAGGCAUAUGUGAUGGAAGAUGUCUGAUGGGAUUCUGGGAAGGAAGACGUGCUAAGAUGUCACAUACCAG